rnacentral:tRNA from 1 species
GCUGAGGCUCGGGCUCAGUGGCAGAGCGCUCGCCUAGCAUGCGUGAGGCACUGGGUUCGAUCCUCAGCACCGCA